UCUGCCUCUCAAAUGCUGUGUUGGAAUUAAAGGUAUGUGCCAAAGGGUAUGAAUCCCUUUUAAAGUAAAAUUUUUUUAAUUAAAUAAUGUGUUAGUUUGUAAUCUGUUGCUUUGAUAAAGGCCAUGACCAAAGGCAAUUUGGAGAAGAAAGGGCUUAUUUGACUUAGAUGUCCUAAAUACAGCCUGUCACAGAGAAAUGUCUGAGCUUUCUCGUACAUCCCCCAACUACCCACCAGGGGUAUCAUUCCCACAAUGUGAUGGGCCCUCCCACACCAAUCUUUAAUCAAGAAAAUGCCCCCAUACACUUGCCUACAGGCCAAUAUGAUGAAGGCAUUUUUUUUAAAUUAUGGUUUCCUCCUCUCAAAUGACCUUUGCUUAUAUC
rnacentral:lncRNA from 1 species